rnacentral:misc_RNA from 1 species
UCACUGCUUGCGCAGGCAGUCUGGCUAGAGUCCCCACCAUUACGUGCUGGCAACUAACCAUAGGGGUUGCGCUCGUUGCGGGACUUAACCCAACACCUCACGGCACGAGCUGACGACGGCCAUGCAGCACCUUGCUUUGUGUCCCGAAGGAAAGGCUCAUCUCUGAGCCGGUCACGCGCAUUCUAGCCUAGGUAAGGUUCCUCGCGUAUCAUCGAAUUAAACCACAUGCUCCACCACUUGUGCGGGCCCCCGUCAAUUCCUUUGAGUUUCACCGUUGCCGGCGUACUCCCCAGGUGGGAUACUUAUCGGUUUCCCUAAGCCACGAACAAUCUUUAGCUCGCAGCGAGUAUCCAUCGUUUACGGCGUGGACUAC